rnacentral:rRNA from 1 species
GACGAACGCUGGCGGCGUGCUUAACACAUGCAAGUCGAACGGAGUGGCGAACGGGUUAGUAACACGUGGGUGACCUGCCCUGCACUUCGGGAUAAGCCUGGGCAACUGGGUCUAAUACCGGAUAGUGUGGGAUGGGCCCGCGGCCUAUCAGCGUGUUGGUGGUGUAAUGGUCUACCAAGGCGGCGACGGGUAGCCGGCCUGAGUGGGUGGACGGCCACAGUGGGAUGGAGUCACGGCCCAGACUCCUACGGGAGGCAGUAGUGGGGAAUAUGGCACAAUGGGCGGAAUCCUGAUGCAGCGACGCCGCGUGGGGGAUGACGGCCUUCGGGUUGUAAACUCCUUUCACCAUCGACGCGGUAGAUGGAGAAGAAGCACCGGCUAACUACGUGCCAGCAGCCGCGGUAAUUC